rnacentral:rRNA from 1 species
GGAGGGGGCUAGCGUUGUUCGGAAUUACUGGGCGUAAAGCGCGCGUAGGCGGGCUGGUUAGUUGGGGGGUGAAAUCCCCGAGGGCUCAACCUCGGGAACUGCCCUCAAUACUGCCAGUCUUGAGUUCGAGAGAGGUGAGUGGAAUUCCUAGUGUAGAGGUGAAAUUCGUAGAUAUUAGGAAGAACACCAGUGGCGAAGGCGGCUCACUGGCUCGAUACUGACGCUGAGGCGCGAAAGCGUGGGGAGCAAACAGGAUUAGAUACCCUGGUAGUCCACGCCGUAAACGAUGGGUGCUAGUUGUCAGGCAGCUUGCUGUUUGGUGACGCAGCUAACGCGUUAAGCACCCCGCCUGGGGACUACGGUCGCAAGACUA